AGUGAACGCUGGCGGUAGGCCUAACACAUGCAAGUCGAACGGCAGCACAGUAAGAGCUUGCUCUUACGGGUGGCGAGUGGCGGACGGGUGAGGAAUACAUCGGAAUCUACUUUUUCGUGGGGGAUAACGUAGGGAAACUUACGCUAAUACCGCAUACGACCUACGGGUGAAAGCAGGGGAUCUUCGGACCUUGCGCGAUUGAAUGAGCCGAUGUCGGAUUAGCUAGUUGGCGGGGUAAAGGCCCACCAAGGCGACGAUCCGUGGCUGGUCUGAGAGGAUGAUCAGCCACACUGGAACUGAGACACGGUCCAGACUCCUACGGGAGGCAGCAGUGGGGAAUAUUGGACAAUGGGCGCAAGCCUGAUCCAGCCAUACCGCGCGGGUGAAGAAGGCCUUCGGGUUGUAAAGCCCUUUUGUUGGGAAAGAAAAGCAGCAGGUUAAUACCCCGCUGUUCUGACGGUACCCAAAGAAUAAGCACCGGCUAACUUCGUG
rnacentral:rRNA from 1 species